rnacentral:rRNA from 1 species
UACGAAGGGGGCUAGCGUUGCUCGGAAUCACUGGGCGUAAAGGGUGCGUAGGCGGGUUUUUAAGUCAGAGGUGAAAUCCUGGAGCUCAACUCCAGAACUGCCUUUGAUACUGAGAAUCUUGAGUAUGGGAGAGGUGAGUGGAACUGCGAGUGUAGAGGUGAAAUUCGUAGAUAUUCGCAAGAACACCAGUGGCGAAGGCGGCUCACUGGACGACUGUUGACGCUGAGGUACGAAAGCGUGGGGAGCAAACAGG